UACAGAGGUCUCAAGCGUUGUUCGGAUUCAUUGGGCGUAAAGGGUGUGUAGGGUGGCGCCGUAAGUCGGGUGUGAAAAUUUUCGGGAGCUUAACUCCGAAACUGCAUUCGAUACUGCGGUGCUUGAGGACUGGAGAGGAGACUGGAAUUCAUGGUGUAGCAGUGAAAUGCGUAGAGAUCAUGAGGAAGACCAGUGGCGAAGGCGGGUCUCUGGACAGUUCCUGACACUGAGACACGAAGGCCAGGGGAGCAAACGGG
rnacentral:rRNA from 1 species